rnacentral:tRNA from 1 species
GACGGCGUAGUGGCUGCGGGGGUGGCUGGGUUUCUCCUCAAUGGAAAUCGCCCGACCAUCGGCGUCAAACUCGACGACGCCGUAU